rnacentral:rRNA from 1 species
CCUACGGGAGGCAGCAGUGGGGAAUAUUGCACAAUGGGGGAAACCCUGAUGCAGCGACGCCGCGUGAGUGAAGAAGUAAUUCGUUAUGUAAAGCUCUAUCAGCAGGGAAGAAAAUGACGGUACUUGAGUAAGAAGCCCCGGCUAACUAGGUGCCAGCAGCCGCGGUAAUACGUAGGGGGCAAGCGUUAGCCGGAUUUACUGGGUGUAAAGGGAGCGUAGGCGGCAGUGCAAGUCUGGAGUGAAAGGCGGGGGCUCAACCCCCGGACUGCACUGGAGACUGGACGACUAGAGUACAGGAGAGGGAAGUGGAAUUCCUGGUGUAGCAGUGAAAUGCGUAGAUAUUGAGAGGAACACCAGUGGCGAAGGCGGCUUACUGGACUGUAACUGACGUUGAGGCUCGAAGGCGUGGGGAGCGAACAGGAUUAGAUACCCCAGUAGUC